GGGUAGUUUGACUGGGGCGGUCUCCUCCCAAAGAGUAACGGAGGAGCACGAAGGUUAGCUAAUCACGGUCGGACAUCGUGAGGUUAGUGCAAAGGCAUAAGCUAGCUUGACUGCGAGAGUGACGGCUCGAGCAGGUACGAAAGUAGGUCUUAGUGAUCCGGUGGUUCUGAAUGGAAGGGCCAUCGCUCAACGGAUAAAAGGUACUCCGGGGAUAACAGGCUGAUACCGCCCAAGAGUUCAUAUCGACGGCGGUGUUUGGCACCUCGAUGUCGGCUCAUCACAUCCUGGGGCUGAAGUAGGUCCCAAGGGUAUGGCUGUUCGCCAUUUAAAGUGGUACGCGAGCUGGGUUUAGAACGUCGUGAGACAGUUCGGUCCCUAUCUGCCGUGGGCGUUGGAAGAUUGAGAGGGGUUGCUCCUAGUACGAGAGGACCGGAGUGAACGCACCACUGGUGUUCGGGUUGUCAUGCCAAUGGCAUUGCCCGGUAGCUAAGUGCGGAAAAGAUAAGCGCUGAAAGCAUCUAAGCGCGAAACUUGCCUCAAGAUGAGUCUUCCCUGGGCCUUUAAGGCCCCUGAAGGAACGUUUAAGACUAAGACGUUGAUAGGCUGGGUGUGUAAGUGCAGCGAUGCAUUGAGCUAACCAGUACUAAUGAUCCGUGAGG
rnacentral:rRNA from 1 species